UUAAGCAUAUCAAUAAGCGGAGGAAAAGAAACUAACAAGGAUUCCCCUAGUAACUGCGAGUGAAGCGGGAAAAGCUCAAAUUUAAAAUCUGGCGGUCUUUGGCUGUCCGAGUUGUAAUCUAGAGAAGUGUUAUCCGUGCUGGACCGUGUACAAGUCUCCUGGAAUGGAGCGUCAUAGAGGGUGAGAAUCCCGUCUUUGACACGGACUGCCAGGACUUUGUGAUGCGCUCUCAAAGAGUCGAGUUGUUUGGGAAUGCAGCUCAAAAUGGGUGGUAAAUUCCAUCUAAAGCUAAAUAUUGGCGAGAGACCGAUAGCGAACAAGUACCGUGAGGGAAAGAUGAAAAGAACUUUGGAAAGAGAGUUAAACAGUACGUGAAAUUGCUGAAAGGGAAACGCUUGAAGUCAGUCGCGUUGUCCAGGGAUCAACCUUGCUUUUGCUUGGUGCACUUUCUGGUUGACGGGUCAGCAUCAAUUUUGAUCAUUGGAAAAAGAUUAGGGGAAUGUGGCAUCUUCGGAUGUGUUAUAGCCCUUGGUUGCAUACAAUGGUUGGGAUUGAGGAACUCAGCACGCCGCAAGGCCGGGUUUUUAACCACGUACGUGCUUAGGAUGCUGGCAUAAUGGCUUUAAUCGACCCGUCUUGAAACACGGACCAAGGAGUCUAACAUGCCUGCGAGUGUUUGGGUGGAAAACCCGAGCGCGUAAUGAAAGUGAAAGUUGAGAUCCCUGUCGUGGGGAGCAUCGACGCCCGGACCAGACCUUUUGUGACGGUUCCGCGGUAGAGCAUGUAUGUUGGGACCCGAAAGAUGGUGAACUAUGCCUGAAUAGGGUGAAGCCAGAGGAAACUCUGGUGGAGGCUCGUAGCGAUUCUGACGUGCAAAUCGAUCGUCAAAUUUGGGUAUAGGGGCGAAAGACUAAUCGAACCAUCUAGUAGCUGGUUCC
rnacentral:rRNA from 1 species